rnacentral:lncRNA from 1 species
AAUACAGAAAAUUCCUUUCACUCAAGAGUACAGCUUUCAAGCUGGCACAAACACCUUGAAAAUAAAAGAAGAAAAAUCACGAAAACAAAACCAUUAAUAGGAAGACCACAAAGACUCCAUGAAUCUACAAAACCCUCUGUUUUGACUUUUCUGCUUGCACCUAAUGACAAAGCACAAAACACAAAACCCUUGUGACCAAAUAUAUUAAAACUCUGGAAUAAUGGUUGAAUUGGUUUGGAGAGGCUGAAGAAGCAUUUUCCUCAUUUUCCUUCACACUGCUUCAUCAGAUGAAACUGAGUAAAGUAAGUUUCUGAAGAUGCUGAAUUUCAAAAUGUGAGUAAAAAUUGUACGGAAUGCAUAGAAUCUUUGUCUU